UGACCUGAGGCAAAUGCCCCAGACAACUAGCUCUCUACAAGGAGGUGCUGACCUGCAUCAGUAGAGGGGUCUCCUCACCUGGGAGUUCCCUGUGCCAAUGAAAUCACAGGUCCCAUCCCUAUCUCUAUAUGGUUGUUAGGAAAUCUUUCCUUCCAGAACGGGAAAUCUGCCUCUGAAACUGCCACCGUCUGGGAUCAAAGAGCAUAAGUCUGACCCUCUUGCCCACGAGUGCCCGUUGGAGAGUGGGGGCCAAUGUCGGCGUGCUCCCUGGUUCUUCUCUCAGAGGUCAAACAUUGACGGUGCUUUCUACCACUGUUCAUACUGACCGGAAUCAUCCCCCACCCCCUCCUCUGUAUCAAAUACUGUGGAGGAAUGAGCCUCGGUUAAAUCCUACAUUAGGUGACCAGGCACAGGUACUGCUAAAUGAAGAUUAAACAAGAAAAGUCUUCAAGAGGGAUGAGAGGCUCCGAUUGUGUUGACACCAUCAUGAAGAAUGGGGGCCAGCUUCUCUAAAGAGACUGAUGUGAUGUGGCUUCAUAGGGUGCUCUCUAGUGAGCUCAGACUUUAAAAGGAGGUGACAGAUACAGCUCAAUGAAAGAAUAGUCCUAUAAGAAUCCUACAAGAAUCAUCCUCAGAAAGUGAAAAGGAACUGGGGAGUCUGAGGAGAAGUUUCAUUAUGUAAGAGUUUUUUACUGUUGAAGAGAAGCAAGAAAGAGUUGUGAAAUUUUAGCAGAUAACAGAGAGAAAAUGAACCACUCACUUUCUGAGCUUUGCUUUAUUUUGUAUUUUUUCCUAUAUUGCAGAAAAUGUUCUUCAGAUCGAGGAUAGAUUAACAAGGAAUUGAAACUCAAGUUAAGUGUGGGCUGGACCAGAUGACCCAUUGGGAAGCAGGGUGGGUAGGAGGCUAGACUUAAAGUCAGAAGACUUGAAUUCAAAUCCUGCUUCAGACACUAGCUGGGUGACUCCAGAUCAAUCACUCUACCUGCCUGGACCUCAGUUUCCUCAUCCCUAAAAUGAAGGGGUUGGACUAGGUGGCUUCGAAGAUCCCUUCCAGCCCAUCCCAGCAAUGAGGCUCUUCCGGGCGUCCUUGGGUGUAAGGAACUCCCUGUGAGAAAAACUCCCUUCACCAAUACAGACUGGCACCUUCUCUGUGACUUAAGAGUCCAAGAGAGCUGACCUAGCACUGGGCACUGGAGAUAGUGACCUGCCUAGGGUUACCCGGGCAGUCAGCAGGUAUCAGACAUAGGCCUUGACACAAGGUCUUCUGGGCUCAGAGACUGGUCCCCAUCUAUUCUUCCUGUCCAAACAGUACUCUGAUG
rnacentral:lncRNA from 1 species